AUACAGGUCUUUUUAUAAGUCUUGUGAUUGGAAUGAGUACAAUUUAAACCCCUUAACGAGAACCAAUUGGAGGGCAAGACUGGUGCCAGCAGCCGCGGUAAUUCCAGCUCCAAUAGCGUAUAUUAAAGUUGUUGCAGUUAAAAAGCUCGUAGUUGGAUCUUGGAACGUUGUGAGCAUCGUCCGCCGUGAAGGUGUGUACGGGUUUGCACGUUCUUUCCUACGGGACAUUCGCUUCUGCUAUUCAUUUAGUGGGGGUAUUCUUGGCUUCGGUCGAGUUUCGCUGCGAUGUUUGUGCUUGGUGGACUUGUCUGUUGUUCUCCUUCGGGAAGCAGUAGCGGUUGCCAAGUCGGCAUCGUUGGUUGGAAUGCCCGUUCGUUUACCUUGAAUAAACUAGAGUGUUCAAAGCAGGCGUCGCGCCGUUGAAUACAUUAGCAUGGGAUAAUGGAAUAGGACUGUGGUUCUAUUUCGUUGGUUUCGGGACCUCAGUAAUGAUUAAUAGGGAUAGUUGGGGGCAUUCGUAUUCAAUUGUCAGAGGUGAAAUUCUUGGAUUUAUGGAAGACGAACUUGGGCGAAAGCAUCUGUCAAGGAUGUUUUCAUUAAUCAAGAACGAAAGUUAGGGGAUCGAAGACGAUCAGAUACCGUCGUAGUCUUAACCAUAAACUAUGCCGACCAAGGAUUGGAGGCCGUUACAUGGAUGACUCCUUCAGCACUUUGUGAGAAAUCAUAAGUUUUUGGGCUUUGGGGGGAGUAUGGUCGCAAGGCUGAAACUUAAAGGAAUUGACGGAAGGGCACCACCAGGAGUGGAGCCUGCGGCUCAAUUUGACCCAACACGGGAAAACUUACCAGGUCCAGACAUAGGAAGGAUUGACAGAUUGAGAGCUCUUUCUUGAUUCUAUGGGUGGUGGUGCAUGGCCGUUCUUAGUUGGUGGAGUGAUCUGUCUGGUUAAUUCCGAUAACGAACGAGACCUUAACCUACUAAAUAGUUAUUCCGAUCCGUCUACUAAAAGAGCUAAGCGAAGCGGACUUUACUUCGGUGGGUUUGUGGAUGUGGAUCUCUGGUCGGAUCGGAAGAUAUACUUCUUAGAGGGACUAUUGGUAUCUAGCCAAUGGAAGUUUGAGGCAAUAACAGGUCUGUGAUGCCCUUUAGAUGUUCUGGGCUGCACGCGCGCUACACUGAUGCAUUCAACGAGUACACAACCUUGGCUGAUGAGUCUGGGUAAUCUUGUGAACGUGCAUCGUGCUGGGGAUAGAUGAUUGCAAUUAUUCGUCUUCAACGAGGAAUUCCUAGUAAGCGUGAGUCAUCAGCUCGCGUUGAUUACGUCCCUGCCCUUUGUACACACCGCCCGUCGCUCCUACCGAUUGAAUGGUCCGGUGAAAUUUUCGGAUUGCUACUUAUGCCUGUCGGUUUCGGCUGAUGGGUCAAGUGGUCGAGAAGUUAAUUAAACCUUAUCAUUUAGAGGAAGGAGAAGU
rnacentral:rRNA from 1 species